AGUUAAGUAUGUAACUAAUUUUAUUUAAUAGACUAUUAGUUUUAUUAUUAACAUAGAGCAUAUUUUAAUACAUAACCGACGUUUAUAAUUACUGAGAGGCACAAACAUACUUGUCUCGAAAAAUGCUCUCAUAUCGGUGGCCAAAAGUAAUUUAAACCUAACUUUACAUCGGCGGGUCCGACAGCGUCCCCACCCCAAUAUUAUUUCCCUCGUUAGUGUGCGCUAGCGCGCAGUGAAGACGGACGCGUGUCAAGUCGCUGCAUUUUCCCGCCAAUAACAUCCUGUGUAAUUUCGUGCGGUGCGGUCGCGGCGCCAGCGCCGGAGCGAUGUUGAUGUGGCUGCGGUUAUUAUAAAAACUUACUAUAUAAUACUAAUAAUGAUUUAUUAGUAUUGGGUUAUUGGUAAAACACUAACAACCUCUCAGGACUAUAUUAGUGACACCAUAAACAACAACUUUUGUUUUAUGACUUUUUACAAAACGUUAUUAUGAUGUUGUUAUGAUUUUUUAUUUAUCUUUGUGCUUCAUUUUAAUAAAGACAUUGGUAAUACAAA